GCCAGGGAUUCUACAGGGGGCCAGGGAACCUGCAGGGGGCCAGGGAUCCUGCAGGGGGCCAGGGAUUCUACAGGGGGCCAGGGAUUCUGCAGGGGGCCAGGGAUUCUUCCCCUGAGAGUGUUGAACUGGUUUAAUAGAACAGUGUUGAACUGGUUUAAUAGAACAGUGUUGAACUGGUUUAAUAGAACAGUGUUGUACUGGUUUAAUAGAACAGUGUUGAACUGGUUUAAUAGAACAGUGUUGAACUGGUUUAAUAGAACAGUGUUGAACUGUUACAUGGAACAGGACCCAGUGGGUCUGCAGGUGGAGUUUCAUAGGGAUGAAUGGUUCUGAUAGAUGGAACAGGACCCAGUGGGUCUGCAGGUGUAGUUUCAUAGGUAUGAAUGGUUCUGAUAGAUGGAACAGGACCCAGUGGGUCUGCAGGUGGAGUUUCAUAUGGAUGAAUGGUUCUGAUAGAUGGAACAGGACCCAGUGGGUCUGCAGGUGGAGUUUACAUUUACAUUUAAGUCAAAGUUUCAUAGGGAUGAAUGGUUCUGAUAGAUGGAACAGGACCCAGUGGGUCUGCAGGUGGAGUUUCAUAGAGAUGAAUGGUUCUGUUAGAUGGAAUAGGACCCAGUGGGUCUGCAGGUGGAGUUUAAUAGGGAUGAAUGGCUCGGUUCUGGUCAGUACAUGACUGUCCAAGAAGGAAAGUUUUCAUUGGUGCUGCUGUAAUAGUGUGACCAAUCACCAUCACUUCCCAGACAGGAGUUUUACAGACAGACAGACAGACAGACAGACAGACAGACAGACAGACAGACAGAGGGUCUUGUCAGUGGACAGACAGUCUCUCCAGAUGGUCAGUGGACAGACAGUCUCUCCAGAUGGUCAGUGGACAGACAAUCUCUCCAAAUGGUCAGUGGACAGACAGUCUCUCCAAAUGGUCAGUGGACAGACAGUCUCUCCAAAUGGUCAGUGGACAGACAGUCUCUCCAGAUGGUCAGUGCGGUAGAUCAGUGAUUUGGCUCUGAGAUUGACCACUGUGAUGGUGAUGGCACAGGAAGGAAAACACUAACGGCAGCGUGUGAUUUGUUUGGCGUGCUGGCCACUGGCGAGGUGGUAAAGUCCUCCUGUUGAUUGUGUGGUGUGGCUUGAUAAGGCUGCCAUGGCGAUGGUGUUUGUGAGAGGGGAAAACACAGUAACGUGUAACACACACACACACACACACACACACACACACACACACACACACACACACACACCUCACCCAGAGAGCAGCUGCACUUGGCAAAGGGAAUAUUUCAAUCCAUUUCUAGUAUGUCUAGUUCCUCUCCUCCCUGACAGAAUGACAUUUAGUUCCUCUGUAAUGUCUGCCGCUGUCUGAGACAGUGUUGUUCUGUCCGUCUCUGUAAUGUCUGCCGCUGUCUGAGACAGAGCUUCCUUCACUGUUUCCAUUGUUUCCUGUGAUAUAAAGGAAGUCGCCAAGACAUCUUUAUUCAUUUAAUCUCCAUUCCAAGACACCCCAAUUCAUUUAUUCUCCAUUCCAAGACACCCCAAUUCAUUUAUUCUCCGUUCCAAGACACCCCAAUUCAUUUAAUCUCCGUUCCAAGACACCCCAAUUCAUUUAAUCUCCGUUCCAGGCGUCAGGUUGGGGAGGUAGGAAACACAUGCGUGUAGCGUGAUAAGGCUGAUGGUGCUUGUGACAGGAGAAAAACACAGUAACGUGUACACGUGUACACACACACACACACACGUUUUGACGCGACCCUGAUGUAAAUGUUGCGAUGUGAAAACCCUGCG
rnacentral:lncRNA from 1 species